rnacentral:rRNA from 1 species
AUUGAACGCUGGCGGCAGGCCUAACACAUGCAAGUCGAGCGAGCGGCGGACGGGUGAGUAAUGUCUGGGAAACUGCCUGAUGGCGGGGGAUAACUACUGGAAACGGUAGCUAAUACCGCAUACCAUCAGAUGUGCCCAGAUGGGAUUAGCUGGUAGGUGGGGUAACGGCUCACCUAGGCGACGAUACCUAGCUGGUCUGAGAGGAUGACCAGCCACACUGUAACUGAGACACGGGCCAGCCUCCUACGGGAGGCAGCAGUGGGGAAUAUUGCACAAUGGGCGCAAGCCUGAUGCAGCCAUGCUGCGUGUGUUAAGAAGGCCUUCGGGUUGUAAAGCACUUUCAGCGGGGAGGCGUUACCCGCAGAAGAAGCACCGGCUUACUCCGUGCCAGUAGCCGCGGUAAUUC